AAGAGGAUAAGAGAGAAAAGUGAGUGCUUUAGAAGAGAAAGUGUUUCGUCCUAUCAUUGAUCGUGCUGCAUUGAUUGACACUCCAACGAGCCAAUGGUAGCAGCUCACUGAGAUGGCACCGGUGACUUCACCACUAUCAGACAUUGAGAGAGAGCGAGCGAGUCAGAUGAAGCAUGUACACACUGAGUGAUUUCCAGAUACUCCGUAAAAAAAAGAAAAAAAGAUCGUGAUUGAGAAAGAAAACUUGAAUGCAAUCAAGAGAUUACAUUUCUGAGUGAACUUUGAAGAGCUGAUGCCGAAGUGAGAAGACGACGAGGCAGAGAAUCGUGAAUAAAGGCCAAUGUAGAUACACGGAGCACCACAGCACCGCAAAUUAUCUUCUUAAUAAGAUGUGAAAUUCUUGCCUUGGCUGGGUUUUUUUUUCCUCCUUUAUGUGUUUUUCUGAGAAACUGUGAACACCAUCCUGGACACGUGAGACGCAUAUAAGCGUAUGUAAAAGGCGAGCCACCCGCGGAGACAAUUUGAUUGUUGAACCUUGAUCUUGAAUUCAUCGGAACCGGCGUCAAAAAUUGAAGCAUGGUCAAGCGCCCCCAGCGUCGCUUGGGAUACGCCAGCGGUGCCCCUCGGCGUCACUCUGUGGACGAACUGGGAACUCCUUUGCUUUCAAUGGGAACCUUUAGCGUCAAAAACAGACGCGAAUUUUAUUGCUGAAAAGACCAAAAGGGCCUUUCGGAAAUGGACUGAGAGACAGAAAGCUGCAAAGGCAAUUACUUGCAAUGAAUGAAAUCCUACAGUUAUGUAUGAACUCACAACAUCAUUAUCAAGUGCUGUGCUGGGCACAUUGGGCAACAAGUGUCCUCCAACAUACCCAAUCUGUGGCCCCGUUCUCCACAUCUUUCCAUGGGACACUGGCAUUCUUCAGGUCUUCGUGAAACAUCUGUCUCCACGUCUUCCCCUGCAUUCUCCUGGUGGUGUCCACUUCAUAUCUGUGUUUGGGUGUUGUUGUUUGGGCAUGCUUAGGAUCUGUCCAGGGAGGUGCACCCUUCGCUCUGUCACAGAUUUGAAAAGUCUUCACAUGGACUCCUCCUUAUGAUCUCUUUGAAACGUGCAGAACCAAUAUUGUAAAUAGUCAUUUAUCUUUUUCCGUAUUGUUGCCUUUAUCAAAGAAGCACCAGUGAUCAUCAGGAGUUUUGGUAAAAGACAUAUUCAUUGCCAUCCACUAGUUCUAGUCAUGCAGCGACUUCAUGAUGCAAUAGUCAAAUAUAUAUUUCUGCAGAGCAAUCGAAGAUCGAGAGUGUUCAGGAAAACCUUCUGAAAACAAUAUUUAUUUAAUUCUGUUUGGUGCUGAUAGAGUAUUACAGAAAUGACACACUUGACAUACUGGACAUUAUUCUGUGAGUUUGUUAUCUUUACAUUUAGAUGGACUUAAAAAUGUCUUGCAUUUUGCUUUAUUAAACCUUUUAUUACAGUGGUCACUAUAGUAAAUGUCCACCUUAACUACAUCUAUGGUUAUGGUUAUGGUAUCAUUAUACAGUGGUGAUCAGAAUUAUUGGCACCCUUGGUAAAUAUGAUCAAAGAUGACUAUAAAAAUAAAUCUGCAU